CUACGGGAGGCUGCAGUGGGGAAUAUUGGACAAUGGGCGAAAGCCUGAUCCAGCCAUGCCGCGUGUGUGAAGAAGGCCUUCGGGUUGUAAAGCACUUUCAGUGGGGAAGAAAGCCUUGGGGCUAAUACCCUCGAGGAAGGACAUCACCCACAGAAGAAGCACCGGCUAACUCCGUGCCAGCAGCCGCGGUAAUACGGAGGGUGACGAGCGUUAAUCGGAAUUACUGGGCGUAAAGCGGGCGUAGGCGGCCUGAUAAGCCGGUUGUGAAAGCCCCGGGCUCAACCUGGGAACGGCAUCCGGAACUGUCAGGCUAGAGUGCAGGAGAGGAAGGUAGAAUUCCCGGUGUAGCGGUGAAAUGCGUAGAGAUCGGGAGGAAUACCAGUGGCGAAGGCGGCCUUCUGGACUGACACUGACGCUGAGGUGCGAAAGCGUGGGUAGCAAACAGGAUUAGAUACCCUUGUAUC
rnacentral:rRNA from 1 species